AGCUGGAAAGCUAACUACAAAGCCUCUAAAAGUUACGUAACAUGGAAGAAACACACUCGAUUCUGCCUCUCCCAUUGAAUAGAGCAAUAAAACAUGGACACAACACACGAAGCAGCUAUUUGAGGACUCUGAGAAGGAAAUGGCAGCACACAGAUUGGGGGAGAAGACCAGAAUUUGAAACGCUGCCGAACCACAGUAGAGUGAUACAAGAUGUGACCGUUGAAGAAUGCUGGGUGAAAGGUGACUCCCUUCAUGGAACCCGUAUGGAAUCUGUGUAUAUAUUUUGGGUAAUUUCCUAUGACUCAGUAGUUAUUUCAAAAUAAAAAUGUUUAAAAAGU